UCCGUAGGUGAACCUGCGGAGGGAUCAUUAGAGAGUUGCAAAACUCCCACACCCAUGCGAACGCACCCCGUAGCCGUUGCCUCGGCGGGUGGGGCCCCCAGGGGCCGCCCCGCCGGCAGCACGCGAACCUCUGUUUAUUGUGGCCUCUCUGAGUAACUAGACAAAUAAGUCAAAACUUUCAACAACGGAUCUCUUGGUUCUGGCAUCGAUGAAGAACGCAGCGAAAUGCGAUAAGUAAUGCGAAUUGCAGAUUUCAGUGAGUCAUCGAAUCUUUGAACGCACAUUGCGCCCGCCAGUAUUCUGGCGGGCAUGCCUGUUCGAGCGUCAUUUCAACCAUCAAGCCCCCGGGCUUGCGUUGGGGGCCCCUGUGGCUGCCGCAGGCCCCCGAAAAGCAGUGGCGGGCUCGCUGUCACACCGAGCGCAGUAGCGAUUCUCGCUCCGGGCGUCGGCGGCGGGCACCGGCCGUGAAACCCCCCACAUCCACAAGGUUGACCUCGGAUCAGGUAGGAAUACCCGCUGAACUUAA
rnacentral:rRNA from 1 species